rnacentral:rRNA from 1 species
AGUGAACGCUGGCGGCAGGCCUAACACAUGCAAGUCGAACGGCAGCACAAGAGAGCUUGCUCUCUGGGUGGCGAGUGGCGGACGGGUGAGGAAUGCAUCGGAAUCUGCCCAUUUGUGGGGGAUAACCUCGGGAAACCGGGACUAAUACCGCAUACGACCUACGGGUGAAAGCAGGGGAUCUUCGGACCUCGCGCAGAUGGAUGAGCCGAUGCCGGAUUAGCUAGUUGGAGGGGUAAAGGCUCACCAAGGCGACGAUCCGUAGCUGGUCUGAGAGGAUGAUCAGCCACACUGGGACUGAGACACGGCCCAGACUCCUACGGGAGGCAGCAGUGGGGAAUAUUGGACAAUGGGCGCAAGCCUGAUCCAGCCAUGCCGCGUGUGUGAAGAAGGCCUUCGGGUUGUAAAGCACUUUUGUUGGGAAAGAAAAGCAGCCGGUUAAUACCCGGUUGUCAUGACGGUACCCAAAGAAUAAGCACCGGCUAACUUCGUG